rnacentral:lncRNA from 1 species
GGAAGGUACAACCCAGGCUCUAAACAAAGUUUGUGGGUUGAUUUGCUCAAUAUUUACCUCGGAAACACUUAGUGAGCGUUUGCUGCAGGCCAGAACCAUAAGUGGGCAUGGGCAGUGCCCCGGCCUCACGGGGCUCCGAGUCUAGAAGGAGAAGCAGCUCCCCGCGCCCCCUGACCUGUGCCGAGAAGGCCGCUCACUCACCCAGCACACAGCUGCUGCUGCUCCCUGCACGGUGGACACACACAGAAACCAGGGCACCGCUGUGUCACAGCCCGUCAUUUCCUGGCCAGUGCGCGGUGGCUCUGCGGCCCCUCCUGGAUCCCCUGCAAAGCUGUGGCCACGCAGACCUUCUCCCUCGUCUUUCUCUGGCUCCCGGUCACCGCCAGCCCUUCCCACAAGCUGCUUCUUGCGUUUGGAGGAUCUUUGCUUUCACUGACGCCAGUCUGGCUUUGGGUCUCUGCCCUAAUGCUCUACGUGUAACUGUAUGUAGAUUCUUUUUCUUAAAGACGGUCCCACAAAACCCGCAUCUCUCCCCAGUGGUGGGAAAAUGUCCCCUGACACUCUUCCCCGGUUGCCGGGUCAGCUGAGUAGGUCCCCCGUUAGGUCAUUCAUUCAUUCAACACAUACAUACUGAGCAGCUCUUCUGUACCGGGCACUGUUCUAGGCACUGGAGACAGACCAAUGGACAAGACAGACAAAAAUGCCUGCCCCGUGGACCUACGAUCCCCCGGGGGUACAGGCAAUCGACAGAAAAAUAAGGAAUAUUCGAGUAAUAAUAACUGACGAAUGUCGGCUUGAGGUGUGACGAGAGCUGCAGGGGAAAAUGAGCGGGGAGCGUGGGGCUGUAAUUUUUAAUGGAACAAGGUAGGAGGUGGACACCUGGGGAUGAGCGGUCUAGGUAAAGGGAAUGGCAUGUGCAAAGGCCCUGAGGCAGAGGCUCACCUGGGAGGGCUCAGCACUUCUCUGUGGUGUUUACCAGCCAGAAAUUAAACAAUCAUUCCGGUGAUGAUUUACACACUUUCUGGCAUACCCACUAGGGUCUUGUAUUCGGUGCUUGUUCACUAAAUAAAUGGAGAAAGGAC